rnacentral:lncRNA from 1 species
GGUGUAACCACACAAUGGAAUGUUAUUUGGCCAUAAAAAGAAAUGAAGUAGUGAUACAUGCUACAACUUGUUGCCACACACUAGAGGGAGAGAGGAUUGGGGAGUAACUACUAAUGGGUACAGGGUUUCUUUUUGGGAUGAUUAAAAUAUGCUAGAAUUAGUAGUGAUAAUGGUUGCACAGUUCUGUAAAUAUACUAAAACUGCUUAAUUGCAUGUUCUAAAACAGUGAAUUUGUGGUAUGAUUCUGUUUUCCCAGCUUUCUUGAGGUAUGAUUGACAAAAUUGUGUAAAUUUAUGGUGUGCAACAUGCUGAUUUGAUAUACAUAUACAUUGUGAAAUGAGUGCCACAAUCGUGUUAGUUAACACAUCUGUCACCUCACCCACUUACAUUUGUGUGUGUGUGUGUGCUAAAAACAUUUAAGAUCUUUACCAGACCCAAAAGUUUUUAAUUACAUGCAAAUUAAGAGGUUUGUUAUUCAGAAUGCUCUAGAAAAGAACAAAUGCCGAGUUGUUGCCAUGGAAAGGGGUGGUAACUUGCAGCUCGUUGCCAUGGCAUUUGUAAACUGUCACGGCACUGGUGGGAGUGUCUUAUGCUAAUGAGCAGCAAGGGUAAAUAGAGGUUGCCUUUGGCACCAUCUGCUGGCUUCUUUACUUCAUCCUGGGACCAGGAAGUAAGUCCGCUGGUCUCCUAAGUCGCCUCCGCAGGCAUAGUGGAGGGCAUAUGUGAUGGCUGCCAUGGUCCUGGGCACACUGUACUGCAUCUCCUGCUUGGUGCUGGCUCUGGGGGUGAAGGAACAGUUAGAAAUGGGAACUUCUCUUUUGCUCCCCACAAAACAACCAGAGCGUGGAACAUAUGAAGUAAAGAAUAAUAUUUAUUGAAUGAAGACAUGAAUUUAACCCUGCAGGCCUAGGUGGGAGCUUCCAGUGCCUCUUGUCAUCAUUCUGGUAUGUCCAGGAAGUGGGAGGUGGCACCAAUGUGUAGCCACCCUGCCUGAGCCCACCAGCCUUGGAGUCAGAACACCCUGGGGUAAAUCCUGGCUCAGCUCUUCUCAGCUAUGUGAUCUCGGGGCUAGACCUUCCAGUAUCGUGUAGAAUAACAGCGGUGAGGCAGAACAUCCUUGUUUCCGUCUUAGGAGGAAAGCGCCAUUAGGAAAGCAUCAUAAGAGGAAAGCAGUCUUUCACCAUUACGUAUAUUAGCUGUGGAUUUUUUUGUUUUGUAUAAUUGUUUUACAUGUUCUUUAUCAAGUUGAAAUAAUUUUGCACUAUUUAUGACUUGCUGGGAGACUUAAUGAGUUUUGGAUUUUGUCAAAUGCUUUCUUUUUGCAUCAAUUCAUAUGAUUAUAUGCUUUUCUUUCCUUGGCUUGUUGAUAUGGUGGAUUGAUUGAUUUUUGAAUGUUGAACUACCAUAGCUGUAAUAAAUCUAACUUGAUAAUGGUGAAUAAUUAUUUUUAUGCAUUGUUGGAUUUGGCUUGCUUAUAUUUUGUCAAGGAUUUUUGCAUCAGAAUUAAUAAGAGAUACUGGUCUGUAAUUUUCUUUCUUUUUAUUUCGUCUCAUAAUAUUGGCCUCAUGAAAUGAAUUGAGAAGUGUUUCCUCUGCUUCUAUUUUUUGGAGGAGAUUGUGUAAAAUUGGUGUUGUGUUUUUCAAAUGUUUGGUAGAAUUAUCCAGCUUGGAGCAUUUUAAUUAUGAAUUCAGUUAUUUUAAUGAAUUUUUUUUUUUUUUGAGACAGAGUCUCGCUUUGUCACCCAGGCUGGAGUGU